GGAGGGGAGGGAGCGCGGACGCCGUGGGGAAGAGGUCGGAGGUCUCCGAAUCUAAAGCCGGUGGACAGAAGGAUUCUCUUUCUUGAAGUUCUUUCAGGAGGCUACGCUCACCCAGCAAUCAAGUGAAAAGUGGGAAGCACCAAGGUUUAUGCAUUUAGGAGAGAUGUACAGAAGACUGGACAGAACAGAUGCAAGGAUCUUUUCCUUUCUUCUUGUUUUGGAGUAAAGGAAAUGGACCUUGAAAUGCUAUGGCAAGGAUAAACCUUGAAAGCUGCCUGCCAUUCUGAGCAGCUUCUGGCAAGAUGCUGGGUGAUCAGACUAUUGAGACCCUGGAAUUCAAGAACUGUUCUCAAGCAGUUGCUAAAAGGUACAACCACUUACUCCAGAAAAUGAAUCACAUGCGGUCUCAGUGAACAAGACAGGUAGGUACCUCCUCAUCCUGUAGAGCGAGAUUGCAGUCUGACGCAGGGGCUCUUCAGGAGAUGCCUGAGGCCUGAGGAUGCGAUGUCUUGGACCCAAUGGUUGUGCUGUAAUUACUGAAGACCACCUGUACAGGGGGCAUUCAUGGGGACAAGAUGUUCAGAAAGAGAAAUGCUGGUUGUAAUGGCCAACCAUCAGGGGACUAAGCUCUGCCUGACCUUUCUCUGGUAGACGCUGUCUUGUUUUGUUCCUAAGAAUAGUGGGCAACAUUUCAUCCAGGAAUCCAGGGAUCAUGACAAAUCUGUAAGGAAGCAAACGUGAUCAUCAAGCUGUGGGAGUACAGAUGAAACAAGAUUGGCCAUGAAUUGAUCAUUUCUGAAUUUGACUGGUAGGUCUGUAGGACUUCCCUGAACAAUUUGACUCUAAUAUGUGCUUAAAUAUAUGGUUUGAAAUUAUCCACAAUACAAAACAAGUCCCUUUAGAGAUUAUCUAGCUGAAUCUUUCAUUUUAAAGGUAGAACCCAGUGGUUAAAUGCCCAAAGUCACAUAAGGAAUUAAUGCAGAGCCAGUAUUAGAAUCCUGCCCUCUCUCUGCAGGGAUUAGGAUAUUUUGGUUAGCUUUACGUGCUUAAAUAAAUGUCAUAUUCUUCAGCUCUGCUCUUACUACCUUGAAAAGCAGAUGGCUGUUUUCAAAACUCCUGCCAAAUAGCCUUAAGAACAUAUUAACGACAGAAGUACCCUUCUCUUAUGAAGCCCCAGGGGGGAGUUUUCUUUGAAGGCUCUCUUCAGCCCCAACAUUUCAAAGGGAAACCCUCCACCUUAAUGUUUGAUAGCACAAAGCAGUCACUGUAGCCCCUUCUUCUUGGAGGACCACCACCAAGAAAGAACUGAAUGUUCUUCCUGGGCCUCUGGCAGUAUUCAGUUUCCUUUAGAACCUGAUUGAAGGCUUGGUGGGGGGAAGGGAGCAUCACAUUUAUGACAGGCAUACAGUUGGAAAGGGCCCGAAUGGUAGCCAUUUAAA